UGUCGCUGAACGGCCAAAAAAGGCAGCUCCGCUUCAGAAAAAGUGCAGGGGCCUCAUCGCAGCGACUCCGGGCUGGCAGGGACCCUCCUGGCGGCUGACGAGAGGGGACACUGACAUCUGCCGGCGGUCCCACCCGGCCCGCAGCGCCCAGGCUCAGCGCGCCGGCCCCGGGACCGCCGCCGCCGCUCCAGGGCAGCCGCACCGGGUCCCCGGGGAGGGACCGGGCAUCGCCGCGCCGAGAGCUGAUGCUCUCCAGCGCUUUAAGGACACGCAGAAUGGAAAAAGCUCCUUUUAAUGAGUUUGUAUCACCUGGUGAAAGAAGAUCAGUGAAAGAGCCUUGUGGGGGUCAUCCAGCAGCAUUUCCCUGUGCUCCCCAAAAGGAACACAAAAGGAGGCCCGCAUCCUACAAAACAUUGCUGCUCAUUUUUCCUUAUUUUUUCCUGAUUUUCCUUCUCCAGUUUUCCCCAUUUGAUUUUUUUUUGUUUGCUUUCAUUUUUUUUUCCUGAUUUCUCCUGAUCCUGAGCCUGUUGGUGCUGGAGAGAGACAGCACUGCUGAAACACACACCACUGCAUCCCCACUGGUUUAGUUCAGUGCUUCUCUCUGGUUGUUGAAAAUGGGUAAUUUCUGGUCAGCAUAGUUCUCCCUGCCCAAAGUGUCAUGGAAGUUAAAAAUUCAAGCUGUUAAAAAAACAGAUCACUUUGGGGAAAAGCACCCACUGCUUGAGGUGUGUGGGGCACAGUGCUGUCUCCCCUCCAUGCCCACUCUGGGGCAUGUUAAGCUUCACAGCUAGCACACGUGAGGGAGGAGGAAUUCAGGGAAACUCUCACAAGAAGAGGUGGAGAGCUCUGUGAAAGAAAAAAUACAAAAAAUUCACAAGUA